rnacentral:rRNA from 1 species
CAGUAGCCGCGGGAAUACGUAGGGUGCAAGCGUUAAUCGGAAUUACUGGGCGUAAAGCGUGCGCAGGCGGUUAUAUAAGACAGAUGUAAAAUCCCCGGGCUCAACCUGGGAACUGCAUUUGUGACUGUAUAGCUAGAGUACGGCAGAGGGGGAUGGAAUUCCGCGUGUAGCAGUGAAAUGCGUAGAUAUGCGGAGGAACACCGAUGGCGAAGGCAAUCCCCUGGGCCUGUACUGACGCUCAUGCACGAAAGCGUGGGGAGCAAACAGGAUUAGAUACCCGCGUAGUCCCUGUCUCUUAUAC